rnacentral:rRNA from 2 species
ACGGGAGGCAGCAGUUGGGAAUAUUGCACAAUGGGCGCAAGCCUGAUGCAGCGACGCCGCGUGAGGGAUGACGGCCUUCGGGUUGUAAACCUCUUUCAGCAGGGAAGAAGCGAAAGUGACGGUACCUGCAGAAGAAGCACCGGCUAACUACGUGCCAGCAGCCGCGGUAAUACGUAGGGUGCAAGCGUUGUCCGGAAUUAUUGGGCGUAAAGAGCUCGUAGGCGGUUUGUCGCGUCUGCUGUGAAAUCCCGAGGCUCAACCUCGGGCCUGCAGUGGGUACGGGCAGACUAGAGUGUGGUAGGGGAGACUGGAAUUCCUGGUGUAGCGGUGGAAUGCGCAGAUAUCAGGAGGAACACCGAUGGCGAAGGCAGGUCUCUGGGCCACUACUGACGCUGAGGAGCGAAAGCAUGGGGAGCGAACAGGAUUAGAUACCCUGGUA